UGGGCUCAGGAGCCACCCAGAUCUAGGUAGCAAUCUACCCAGCUCGAUAGCAAACUUGCUGUACCAUCUUGACUUUCUCUGAGCCUCGCUUUACCCAAGUAUAUAUUGGAGAUGUACCUGGUACCUUGCAGGGUUGUUAGAAGAUGAGAAGGCGUGGUGUCUGGCAUAGAGAGGGGGCUCAGUAAAUCGUGUCAUUAGUACGGCAUCCCCAUGAGAGGAGGAUCCUUGUUUCCCUCUGUUUGUUGCUGGAGGCCCAGUCACUGGAGCCAGGAAUGAAGGCGUCCCAGACAAGGUUUUGCGGUUCACAGAGGACGUGGUACAUGAGCUGAACCUUGAAGAAUGUGUACAAGUUCACCAGGAGGGAACAAGACAGAAUGGUACCGGCACAUCUCAGCUGGUGGAAGGUUUGAGCCCCGAGGCCUCCAACUCACGCCCAACCCACUUCCCGGUGGUUUUGCCAGGGGCCGGCUCUGCCCGAACCCUCUGCCCCAUUACCAGGAGAGGGUGCUAAAACUGGCCUUGCUGCCCAGCGCACCCCUGAGCCAGGACCUUGUGAGGAAUUACCAAACCCUGAUAGAGAACCGGGUGGCCUUGCCCCUCUGUCAUCGCUCCAAAGCACCGCCUGGUAAAACCUUAGCAAGGAAGACAAAGAGAAGACCUGGACAGAUCUAAAGAUAGAGCCUCCAUCUGGGCGAGGACUGUGGUGGGCUACAGUGUUCUCAACCAGUACACCUUCAGCAAGAAGCCUCUGGGGUGGCUGAAGGCCUGGCUUCUGCACAACAGAG